AGAGUUUGUCAUGGCUCAGAACGAACGCUGGCGGCAUGCCUAACACAUGCAAGUCGAACGAAGUCUUCGGGACUUAGUGGCGCACGGGUGCGUAACGCGUGGGAAUCUGCCCUUGGGUGCGGAAUAACUUCUCGAAAGGGAUGCUAAUACCGCAUAACGUCGUAAGACCAAAGAUUUAUCGCCCAAGGAUGAGCCCGCGUAAGAUUAGCUAGUUGGUGGGGUAAAAGCCUACCAAGGCGACGAUCUUUAGCUGGUCUGAGAGGAUGAUCAGCCACACUGGGACUGAGACACGGCCCAGACUCCUACGGGAGGCAGCAGUGGGGAAUAUUGGACAAUGGGCGAAAGCCUGAUCCAGCAAUGCCGCGUGAGUGAUGAAGGCCCUAGGGUUGUAAAGCUCUUUUACCAGGGAUGAUAAUGACAGUACCUGGAGAAUAAGCUCCGGCUAACUCCGUG
rnacentral:rRNA from 1 species